rnacentral:rRNA from 1 species
CAAUAAGCGGAGGAAAAGAAACUAACAAGGAUUCCCCUAGUAACGGCGAGUGAAGCGGGAAGAGCUCAAAUUUAAAAUCUGGUUUGCUUGCAAAUCCGAGUUGUAGUCUGAAGAAGCGUUUUCCAUGAAAAUCGAGGCACAAGUCCUUUGGAACAGGGCAUCAUAGAGGGUGAGAAUCCCGUCCAUGGUCUCGAAUCUUUCAUUUUGUGAUACGCUUUCUAAGAGUCAGGUUGUUUGGGAAUGCAGCCUAAAAUGGGUGGUAAAUUUCAUCUAAAGCUAAAUAUUGGCGAGAGACCGAUAGCGAACAAGUACCGUGAGGGAAAGAUGAAAAGAACUUUGAAAAGAGAGUUAAAAAGUACGUGAAAUUGUUGAAAGGGAACCGUUUGAAGCCAGUCUUGCUUAUUUGUGAUCAGUUUUGGCUUUGGCCAGAAUGCACUCUCAAAUUAUGCAGGUCAACGUCAGUUUGAGAGGCGGGAAAAAAGCUUGAGGAAUGUGGCCUUCGGGUGUUAUAGCCUCUUGCUAAAUACCGUCUCAUGGACUGAGGCUCGCAGCAAAAAUUUGGGCAGGCGUGCUUCUGAGGGGAAUCAUUAUCAAGACAGCUUGCUGACUUGGUUUUGCCCAACUUCACAGUACGUUUCGCUUCUAAUUUGCUUAGGUCGUUGACAUAAUGGCUUUAAAUGACCCGUCUUGAAACACGGACCAAGGAGUCUAACAUAUAUGCGAGUAUUUGGGUGGCAAACCCACAUGCGCAAUGAAAGUGAAAUUAGGUGCCAAACCUUCACGGGUGGCAGCAUCGGCCGGCUCUGACGUUUUAACUGACGAGUCUGAGCAGAAGCAUACAUGUUGGGACCCGAAAGAUGGUGAACUAUGCCUGAAUAGGGUGAAGCCAGAGGAAACUCUGGUGGAGGCUCGUAGCGAUUCUGACGUGCAAAUCGAUCGUCAAAUUUGGGUAUAGGGGCGAAAGACUAAUCGAACCAUCUAGUAGCUGGUCCUGC